rnacentral:rRNA from 1 species
ACGGAAGGCAGCAGUGAGGAAUAUUGGUCAAUGGACGGAAGUCUGAGCCAGCCAAGUAGCGUGAAGGACGACGGUAUUAUGUAUUGUAAACUUCUUUUAUGGGAGGGUAAAGUGAGCUACGUGUAGUUCAUUGCAGGUACCCCAUGAAUAAGCAUCGGCUAACUCCGUGCCAGCAGCCGCGGUAAUACGGAGGAUGCGAGCGUUAUCCGGAUUUAUUGGGUUUAAAGGGAGCGUAGGCGGGAGAUCAAGUCAGCUGUGAAAUGUGUAUGCUCAACAUAUGCACUGCAGUUGAAACUGGUUUUCUUGAGUGCGUUAGAAGUGGGUGGAAUUUGUGGUGUAGCGGUGAAAUGCUUAGAUAUCACAAAGAACUCCGAUUGCGAAGGCAGCUCACUAUGCCGCAACUGACGCUGAAGCUCGAAGGUGCGGGUAUCGAACAGGAUUAGAUACCCUGGUA